UGCUUGAGCUGCUUGAGCAUGACUUGAGGAUGAGAUUUGUUGUAGUGGUGAAGCAGCUUUGCCAAAUAUUCCGUUCAAGUUCCUCGCUGGAUGUCCCGCUCGUCCGUCGAUGUUCAAGAGAUGCAACAAGUGCCAGUCCACUUUUUCUCAGCUGCACCUUCUCAGUCCAGGCAGCACCAGGUGAAUGUAGGUACACAAUUUCCAAGUGAAUUAAGACGUACGAGUGCAAUUCUGAAGCAGAUUUUCAGGCAUGUUGAGAAGAAAUGCGCAGAAGGCAGCCAAGUGUCACUAAAGGCACAGGGGUAAAAA